CCAGUGACCGGCGAACGGGUGCGUAACACGUGAGCGACCUACCGUCUUGUGGGGGAUAGCCGGCCCAACGGCCGGGUAAUACCGCAUACGCGUUUCUGGCUGCAUGGCUGGGGACGGAAACUUCAGGGGCAGGGCGAGGGGCUCGCGGCCUAUCAGCUUGUUGGUGGGGUCAUGGCCUACCAAGGCGACGACGGGUAGCUGGUCUGAGAGGAUGGCCAGCCACAUUGGGACUGAGAGACGGCCCAGACUCCUACGGGAGGCAGCAGUGGGGAAUCUUGCGCAAUGGCCGCAAGGCUGACGCAGCGACGCCGCGUGUGGGAGGACGCCCUUCGGGGUGUAAACCACUGUUGCCCGGGACGAACAUGGGGUUUCGACCCCACUGACGGUACCGGGUGAGGAAGCACCGGCUAACUCCGUGCCAGCAGCCGCGGUAAUACGGAGGGUGCGAGCGUUG
rnacentral:rRNA from 1 species